GAUGAACGCUGGCGGCGUGCCUAAUACAUGCAAGUCGAGCGAACAGACGAGGAGCUUGCUCCUCUGACGUUAGCGGCGGACGGGUGAGUAACACGUGGAUAACCUACCUAUAAGACUGGGAUAACUUCGGGAAACCGGAGCUAAUACCGGAUAAUAUAUUGAACCGCAUGGUUCAAUAGUGAAAGACGGUUUUGCUGUCACUUAUAGAUUGAUCCGCGCCGCAUUAGCUAGUUGGUAAGGUAACGGCUUACCAAGGCAACGAUGCGUAGCCGACCUGAGAGGGUGAUCGGCCACACUGGAACUGAGACACGGUACAGACUCCUACGGGAGGCAGCAGUAGGGAAUCUUCCGCAAUGGGCGAAAGCUUGACGGAGCAACGCCGCGUGAGUGAUGAAGGUCUUAGGAUCGUAAAACUCUGUUAUUAGGGAAGAACAAAUGUGUAAGUAACUAUGCACGUCUUGACGGUACCUAAUCAGAAAGCCCCGGCUAACUACGUG
rnacentral:rRNA from 1 species